AUGAUGGACUUACUGACUAAGGGUAAGCAUUUCGGAGAAGUAGCAGCUUAUGUACAUGUCACGGAGUUUCAGAAACGAGGCCUCCCUCAUGAGCAUAUACUUCUAAUCAUGAAAGCAAAAAGCAAGUUAGCGACCCCAGAUGACUAUGAUCGGGUGAUAUCUGCAGAGAUACCUGACAAAGAGAAACACCCCGUUCUACAUGAUCUGGUCAUCAAACACAUGCUACACGGACCUUGUGGUGAGCUCAAAAAAAGUUGUCCUUGCAUGAUUGAGGGACAGUGUCGAUUUCAUUACCCGCGAGAUUUUUGCGAUGCCACACAGCAAGGGAAAGACUCAUAUCCCAUAUAUAGAAGGAGGGACGACGGGCAGAGGGUUCGGAUCAGAGGAGCUGAUUUGGACAAUAGAUGGGUAGUCCCUUACAAUCCUUAUCUACUUAUGACAUACAACUGCCACAUUAAUGUCGAAGCAUGCUCGAGCAUUAAGGCAGUCAAGUACUUGUUCAAGUACAUCUACAAAGGGCAUGAUCGAACAUCAUUUGCAUUCGAGCAGGAUAUCAUCAAUGAAGGUGGAAUCAUCAAUGAAAUCCGACAGUAUAGGGAUGCACGCUAUGUAUCUCCUCCAGAAGCUAUUUAUAGGAUUUUCGGUUUUAAAAUGUUUGGUGUCAGUCCAUCUGUGCUACAGCUCCAGCUUCAUUUGCCAAACAUGCAUACGGUUGCAUUUAAAGCGUGUGAAAAUCUGGAAGAUGUUGUCGCUCGGCCAUCUUCUUCCAAGUCCAUGCUUACCGAGUACUUUCGGAUGAACCAGAAGUUUCUAGAAGCGCGGAAAUGGCUGUACAGAGAGUUUCCAGAACAUUAUAGAUGGAUAGCUGGAAAUAAGAGUUGGCAGAAUAGAAAAAGUAUGAGAUCACAGAUUGGAAGACUUGUGUAUGCACACCCUGCUGAAGGAGAGAGGUACUACUUGCGUGUGCUCCUAAGUCAUGUCCGAGGUGCCACUUCAUUUGAUGAUUUAAAAACAGUAAAUGGCAAGCCAUGCAAUUCCUUCAGGGAGGCAUGCGAGCACUUAGGCCUCAUUGAGCACGAUAGGACUCUUGAUGAUUGCAUGACGGAGGCAGCCACAUUUCAGAUGCCUUAUGCCCUGAGAUGGUUGUUUGCGACUAUACUGGUAUUCUGUGAGGCAACAGAAAUCCGACAGAUGUGGGACAAACAUCUAGCAUCAAUGUCUCAGGAUUACCGUCGUAAUCAAUCCGAUGAGGCAACACUUGAGCAGAUAGUCCUUAGAGAUAUUAGGGAUAUGUUACAAUCCAUGGGAAAGGAUAUUAGAAACUAUGGACUUCCGGAUCUGGUUGAGACCAAUGAUUCUUAUGACUCUGAGUACAAAGAAGUAACAGAGGAGAGGCAAGUCACAGUGGACAAAGAACAUCUAGAUCUAUUUAACAGUUUGAACAAUGAGCAGUUGGCUAGUUUUAAUGACAUAAUGGAUCAUGUGAUGAACCAAAAAAGCCAGAUAUUCUUUGUUGAUGGUCCACGAGGCACUGGGAAGACAUACUUGUACAAGGCCUUGCUUGCAAAGGUGCGUUCCGUGGGCCAAAUAGCAAUCGCAACUGCUACAUCAGGUAUAGCGGCGUCGAUAAUGCCAGGAGGACGGACUGCGCACUCCAGGUUCAAAAUUCCAAUUAAGCUCACUGACAACAGCAUGUGUAGUUUUACAAAGCAGAGUGGUACAGCAGAGUUGCUUAAACAGGCGUCCUUGAUAAUUUGGGGCGAAGUCGCUAUGACAAAACGUCAAGCAGUUGAGACGCUUGAUAGAUCACUCCAGGAUAUAAUGGAGUGUCCUUUGCCAUUUGGGGGAAAGGUUAUCGUCUUUGGUGGGGAUUUUCGGCAAGUCCUUCCUGUUGUCACACGUGGGACAAGAGCACAGAUCACGGAUGCUACACUCCUGAGAUCCUAUUUGUGGGAGAAGACCCGCAAGAUACACCUCACGCGCAAUAUGCGGGCACAAGCUGAUCCUUGGUUCUCUGAAUACCUCCUAAGGAUCGGUAAUGGAACAGAAGAGACAAUAGGCGACGACUAUGUGCGUCUCCCUGACGACAUUGUGAUUGGCUAUACCGAUGAUGAAAAAGCUAUUAACAAGCUCAUUGAAGAUGUAUUUCCAUCGCUGCAUGCUAAUGCUAGAUCAAGAGAGUACAUGAGCGCACGUGCAAUUCUAUCGACCAAGAACGAUCAUGUGGAUGACCUCAAUGACAAGAUGAUCUCUAGGUUUCCAGGCGAAGAAAAGUUAUACCAUAGCUUUGACUCAAUCGAGGAUGACUUGCAGAAUAAUUACAUAAUUGAUUUUUUGAACUCGAUCACACCAAAUGGUUUGCCACCGCAUGUUUUGAGAUUAAAGGUCAACUGUCCAGUCAUUCUGCUCCGGAACCUCGACCCUCAUAAUGGUCUAUGCAACGGAACACGGCUUAUGAUUAGAGCCUUCCAGGAUAAUGCAAUUGAUGCGGAGAUUGUUGGUGGUCAGCAUGCUGGAAAGAGGGUGUUCAUAUCUAGGAUCCCUAUGUCGCCCUCAGAGGACAGCUCACUUCCCUUCAAACUUAAGAGAAAGCAGUUCCCCAUCCGCCUGAGUUUUGCGAUGACAAUUAACAAGGCACAGGGUCAGACCAUCCCAAACGUCGGUAUUUACCUUCCCGAGCCUGUAUUCUCACAUGGUCAGCUAUAUGUUGCAUUGUCGAGUGGAGUGUCAAGAGAGACGACACGGAUUUUGGCCAAGCCAAACAAGGAGGUUGACAAAUCUGGGAAAAGCACCAAGAACAUUGUCUACAGAGAUGUUUUAGAGAGAUGA
rnacentral:rRNA from 1 species